UGAGCAACCUGCCCUUAGCUCUGGGAUAACCCCGGGAAACCGGGGCUAAUACCGGAUACGAGUCCGAGCGGCAUCACGCGGACUGGAAAGUUUUUCGGCUAAGGAUGGGCUCGCGGCCUAUCAGCUUGUUGGUGGGGUAAUGGCCUACCAAGGCGACGACGGGUAGCCGGCCUGAGAGGGCGACCGGCCACACUGGGACUGAGACACGGCCCAGACUCCUACGGGAGGCA
rnacentral:rRNA from 1 species